AAGAUCUGCGCUUCACCUGUCUUUUUCGGCCCGUCGAUUAUCCAAACCUCCUCCUUCCUCGAUGAGCCACCAUUGCUCGCUCGCUCACUCGCUAGCUCUCUCCCUCCAAUCCUCUCUCUCUCUCUGAGGAUAAGCAAACAUAUGCAAAAAAUGCUUCUUUUCCCACCACCUCCUCCGACUCGCUUUCCUUCAAUUCAAAUUCCUUCUCCAUUCCCCCUCCUGCACCACCACCACCACCACCUUAUCUCUCAACCGCCUGUUUCAGCCACCACUUCCACAACCGCACUAACAAACCCCACUAAUUUGGCUGGCCCCACUGUCUCCUCUUCGAGACGGCUCAAUAACGAUCAAAAUGACAUGGACGAUAUUCUCCCCCUCCAGAGCCGCCGUUACGACUUUACUCCACUUCUUGACUUCUUGUCCAAUCAAAUAUCAUCUUCUGCAACGUCCGAUGACUCCGAAUCAGCUUCACCUACUUCACUGGAUGCCACAGAGUUUCAGCUUGCUGAGUCAUACAGGGCCGUACCUGGUCCACUCUGGCACUCUCUUCUCAAAUCUCUCUGCACUUCUUCAUCCUCCAUAGGUCUAGGGUACGCCGUCGUUUCAUGGCUCCAGAAACAUAAUCUCUGUUUCUCCUAUGAGCUACUCUAUUCGAUUCUUAUUCACGCACUUGGCCGUUCGGAGAAGUUGUACGAGGCGUUUUUGCUCUCUCAGAGACAGACCUUAUCUCCAUUAACCUACAAUGCCCUAAUAAAUGCCUGUGCCCGCAACAACGAUCUUGAAAAGGCACUCAAUUUGAUUUCUAGAAUGCGCCUGGAUGGUUACCCAUCGGAUUUCGUCAAUUACAGCUUGAUAAUUCAGUCUCUUACACGAUCAAAUAGAAUCGAUUCUGUGAUUCUGCAAAAGCUUUAUAACGAAAUCGAGUGCGAUAAACUUGAGCUUGACGUUCAGCUCUCAAAUGACAUAAUUAUUGGCUUUGCAAAGGCAGGUGAUCCUAGCCGGGCUAUGGAAUUCCUAGGUAUGGUUCAAGGCAAUGGAUUGAGCCCAAGAACGUCGACUCUUGUCGCAGUUAUAUCGGCCUUGGGAGAAUCGGGAAGGACUACAGAGGCUGAGUCUAUUUUCGAAGAAAUGAAAGACAACGGAUUGAAACCCAGGACUAGGGCUUAUAAUGCGCUUCUUAAGGGGUAUGUGAAAGCUGGUUUGCUGAAAGAUGCGGAAUUUAUUGUUUCUGAGAUGGAGAGAAGUGGAGUUUCACCAGAUGAACACACUUACAGUCUGCUAAUUGAUGCCUAUGCUAAUGCAGGAAGAUGGGAAAGCGCAAGAAUUGUUUUGAAGGAAAUGGAAGCAAGCAACGUGAUGCCUAAUUCCUAUGUUUUCAGCAGAAUUUUAGCUUCCUAUCGGGAUAGAGGGGAGUGGCAGAAAUCCUUUCAGGUCUUAAAGGAGAUGAAAAAUAUUGGGGUGCGCCCUGAUAGGCAUUUUUACAAUGUCAUGAUUGAUACUUUUGGCAAGUUUGAUUGCCUUGAUCAUGCAAUGGCUACCUUCGAUAGGAUGCUGUCUGAGGGGAUACAGCCUGACACUGUUACAUGGAAUACACUUUUAGACUGUCAUUGUAAGGCAGGGCGGCAUGAUAGAGCUGAGGAGUUGUUUGAGGAAAUGAUGGAAAAAGGUUACUCACCAUGUACUACAACAUUUAACAUUAUGAUUAAUUCGUUUGGGGAGAGGCAGAAAUGGGAUGAUGUGAAAAAUUUGAUGGGAAAAAUGCGGAGUCACGGUUUAUUGCCUAAUGUUGUAACAUAUACCACACUCGUUGAUAUUUAUGGGCAGUCAGGGAGAUUUAAUGAUGCGACUGAGUGCUUAGAGGAUAUGAAGUCUGCAGGGUUGAAACCAUCCUCUACCAUGUAUAAUGCAUUGAUAAAUGCUUAUGCACAAAGGGGUUUAUCUGAGCAUGCACUAAAUGCGUUUAGGUUAAUGAGAUCAGAUGGCCUGAGCCCUAGUAUUUUAGCUCUGAAUUCUUUGAUCAAUGCAUUUGGUGAGGAUAGGAGAGAUGUUGAAGCAUUUGCAGUGCUGCAGUACAUGAAGGAAAAUGAUUUGAAGCCAGAUGUCGUAACAUAUACUACACUUAUGAAAGCUCUGAUUCGUGUAGAUAAAUUUAACAAGGUGCCAUCUGUAUAUGAAGAAAUGAUUUUGGCUGGGUGUACUCCAGAUAGGAAAGCUAGAGCAAUGCUACGAUCUGCACUAAAAUACAUGAAGCAAACACUAAAAUUAUAGUCAAAAAGUGAAAGUUGUGGGAUCAACUGUCAUGGACUCAUGGUUAAGGUCACUAAUCAUUUGCCAAUUUAAGGAACAACUACAUUUUUGUACGUUAAUAAGUUGGAAGGAUUCUCAUCCAGGGACAAUGAAAUUCUGCAUUCAAAAACCAUACGUAAGGUCAAAACAGAGACUUGGGGGCAUCUUCAUUCAUCAUCUCUCAUUUAGAUUGUAAAGUUCUUGGCUUCAUACGAACACCACAUAACAUGCAAGUUGUUGUCAGUGUCAUGUAUUAUAAUCACUUCAAUUCGGAAUUGACAAUUCCGAUCACUGUUAUAUCAUAAAGGAAAAUAGAUGCAAUUUCUUUAAAAAAGUUUACAUCCUUGUUACUCUGUAUCAUAAUGAUUCUACAAAAACUUGGGGUCUUGUGUGUUUCUGUUGUACAAUGGAUUAACCUGCCAUUUUCUUUUCUCUCCUUUCA